AUUGAACGCUGGCGGCAUGCCUUACACAUGCAAGUCGAACGGCAACAGGUCUUCGGAUGCUGACGAGUGGCGAACGGGUGAGUAAUACAUCGGAACGUGCCCGAGAGUGGGGGAUAACGAAGCGAAAGCUUUGCUAAUACCGCAUACGAUCUCAGGAUGAAAGCAGGGGACCGCAAGGCCUUGCGCUCACGGAGCGGCCGAUGGCAGAUUAGGUAGUUGGUGGGAUAAAAGCUUACCAAGCCGACGAUCUGUAGCUGGUCUGAGAGGACGAUCAGCCACACUGGGACUGAGACACGGCCCAGACUCCUACGGGAGGCAGCAGUGGGGAAUUUUGGACAAGGGGCGCAAGCCUGAUCCAGCAAUGCCGCGUGCAGGAUGAAGGCCUUCGGGUUGUAAACUGCUUUUGUACGGAACGAAAAGCCCUGGGUUAAUACCCUGGGGUCAUGACGGUACCGUAAGAAUAAGCACCGGCUAACUACGUGCCAGCAGCCGCAGUAAUAC
rnacentral:rRNA from 1 species